rnacentral:rRNA from 1 species
UACGUAGGUGGCAAGCGUUGUCCGGAUUUACUGGGCGUAAAGGGAGCGUAGGCGGAUUUUUAAGUGGGAUGUGAAAUACCCGGGCUCAACCUGGGUGCUGCAUUCCAAACUGGGAAUCUAGAGUACAGGAGGGGAGAGUGGAAUUCCUAGUGUAGCGGUGAAAUGCGUAGAGAUUAGGAAGAACACCAGUGGCGAAGGCGACUCUCUGGACUGUAACUGACGCUGAGGCUCGAAAGAGUGGGGAGCAAACAGG